UUCGCCGAUGAAAUUGGUAGAAAAUAGAUGUUUAGCUACAGCAUGUUAGCAUGGAUCACAAUUUUAAACAAAGAAAAGCGAAAACGGAAGGAGGUUGGCGUUUUUCAAGCAUCAUGCCCUGGCUUUCCUGGUGUAAACAACGCCAUAUGCGUUUGAGUGCCUCUACAGAGCCAAAGAAGAAAAGCUGAUUAGUUAUAGAGGAAUAGCUAGGACACCUACCCACCCACCCUCCCACCCUACCCCUUGAAGCAUUACAGUCUAAGAUUAUGCAGGACCAAGCAGGAUGACAGUGAGAAAACUGGAGAUGUACUUCUUCAAUAAAGUAUAGUGCUGUGCAAAAGAAACCCCAAAGCAGAGAGAAGAUCU